CCUACGGUCGGCAGCAGUGAGGAAUAUUGGUCAAUGGACGAGAGUCUGAACCAGCCAAGUAGCGUGAAGGAUGACUGCCCUAUGGGUUGUAAACUUCUUUUGUAAAGGAAUAAAACGAGGCACGUGUGCCUUUUUGCAUGUACUUUAUGAAUAAGGAUCGGCUAACUCCGUGCCAGCAGCCGCGGUAAUACGGAGGAUCCGAGCGUUAUCCGGAUUUAUUGGGUUUAAAGGGAGCGUAGGUGGGUUGUUAAGUCAGUUGUGAAAGUUUGCGGCUCAACCGUAAAAUUGCAAUUGAUACUGGCAGUCUUGAGUACAGUUGAGGUAGGCGGAAUGCGUGGUGUAGCGGUGAAAUGCUUAGAUAUCACGAAGAACUCCGAUUGCGAAGGCAGCUUACUAAACUGCCACUGACAUUGAUGCUCGAAAGUGUGGGUAUCAAACAGGAUUAGAUACCCUGGUAGUC
rnacentral:rRNA from 1 species